rnacentral:misc_RNA from 1 species
GAGUGAAGCGCGUGGCGGAGGAUGCGCCGCCGCCAGAAGAGGAUACUGCGGCGUCAGCUGGUGGUGGCUCAUACGAUUCUGUAGCCGGUUGCGCCGGGAUUUACUCCAAUCUGGAGGAGCUGUUUGUUUUCAAUCCAAGGGCUAUUCUUCCUUGUUUCGUUGUAAUUUACAGUGUUCUCGAGUCUUGAUCAUUUGUGGCGGUAACCAUCAAACUUACAUAACUAGAUCAACGGUUAUCGCGCUUAUGUACAGUACACAGUUGAGAGGUGAGCACAGUGAUGCGCUAUCCGUUGACUGCACAG